AGAGUUUGAUCCUGGCUCAGGACGAACGCUGGCGGCGUGCUUAACACAUGCAAGUCGAACGGACCUGUUUUAAGAAAUUUUCGAAUGGAUUUUUACAGGUUAGUGGCGGACGGGUGAGUAUCACGUGGAUAAUCUGCCCCAAUACUCGGGACAACAGCUGGAAACGGCUGCUAAUACCGAAUAAUCCCCAGAACCGGCAUCGGUUUUGGGGGAAAGAUGGCCUCUGUUUACAAGCUAUCGAAUUGGGAUGAGUCCGCGUCUGAUUAGCUAGUUGGUGGGGUAACAGCCUACCAAGGCGACGAUCAGUAGCCGGCCUGAGAGGGUGGCCGGCCACACUGGGACUGAGACACGGCCCAGACUCCUACGGGAGGCAGCAGUGGGGAAUCUUCCGCAAUGGGCGCAAGCCUGACGGAGCAACGCCGCGUGAAUGAAGAAGGCCUUCGGGUCGUAAAGUUCUGUUUUUAGGGAAGAAGUCUCUUUCUGUAAAUAAUGGGGAGAGGUGACGGUACCUUAGGAGGAAGCUCCGGCUAACUACGUGCCAGCAGCCGCGGUAACACGUAGGGAGCAAGCGUUGUCCGGAAUUACUGGGCGUAAAGGGCGCGUAGGUGGGCGUUUAAGUCAGAUGUGAAAACUUUGGGCUCAACCCAAAGAUUGCAUUUGAAACUAAGCGUCUUGAGGGCAGGAGAGGAAAGUGGAAUUCCUAGUGUAGCGGUGAAAUGCGUAGAUAUUAGGAGGAACACCAGUGGCGAAGGCGACUUUCUGGACUGUACCUGACACUGAGGCGCGAAAGCGUGGGUAGCGAACGGGAUUAGAUACCCCGGUAGUCCACGCCGUAAACGAUGAAUACUAGGUGUAGGGGGUAUCGACCCCCUCUGUGCCGCAGUUAACACAAUAAGUAUUCCGCCUGGGGAGUACGGCCGCAAGGCUAAAACUCAAAGGAAUUGACGGGGACCCGCACAAGCGGUGGAGCAUGUGGUUUAAUUCGACGCAACGCGAAGAACCUUACCAGGGCUUGACAUCCCGGGCCAACUCUGGAAACAGAGCUUUCGAACCUUCGGGUUCGACUCGGAGACAGGUGGUGCAUGGUUGUCGUCAGCUCGUGUCGUGAGAUGUUGGGUUAAGUCCCGCAACGAGCGCAACCCCUACUUUUAGUUGCCAGCACUUCGGGUGGGCACUCUAGAGGAACCGCCGGUGACAAAUCGGAGGAAGGUGGGGACGACGUCAAAUCAUCAUGCCCUUUAUGUCCUGGGCUACACACGUGCUACAAUGGUCGGCACGGAGGGCAGCGAAGCCGUGAGGUGGAGCCAAUCCCACAAAGCCGAUCUCAGUUCGGAUUGCAGUCUGCAACUCGACUGCAUGAAGUCGGAAUCGCUAGUAAUCGCGAGUCAGCAUAUCGCGGUGAAUACGUUCCCGGGUCUUGCACACACCGCCCGUCA
rnacentral:rRNA from 1 species